UCGAUGAAGAACGCAGUUAACUGCGCGUCAUAGUGUGAACUGCAGGACACGUUUGAACAUCGACAUUUCGAACGCACAUUGCGGUCUGUGGGGUUACAUCCAGGACCACUCCUGUCUGAGGGCCG
rnacentral:rRNA from 1 species